rnacentral:rRNA from 1 species
UUAAGCGACUAAGCGUACACGGUGGAUGCCCUGGCAGUCAGAGGCGAUGAAGGACGUGCUAAUCUGCGAUAAGCGUCGGUGAGGUGAUAUGAACCGUUAUAACCGGCGAUUUCCGAAUGGGGAAACCCAGUGUGUUUCGACACACUAUCAUUAACUGAAUCCAUAGGUUAAUGAGGCGAACCGGGGGAACUGAAACAUCUAAGUACCCCGAGGAAAAGAAAUCAACCGAGAUUCCCCCAGUAGCGGCGAGCGAACGGGGAGGAGCCCAGAGCCUGAAUCAGUGUAUGUGUUAGUGGAAGCGUCUGGAAAGGCGCGCGAUACAGGGUGACAGCCCCGUACACAAAAAUGCACAUAUUGUGAGCUCGAUGAGUAGGGCGGGACACGUGGUAUCCUGUCUGAAUAUGGGGGGACCAUCCUCCAAGGCUAAAUACUCCUGACUGACCGAUAGUGAACCAGUACCGUGAGGGAAAGGCGAAAAGAACCCCGGCGAGGGGAGUGAAAAAGAACCUGAAACCGUGUACGUACAAGCAGUGGGAGCCUCUUAAUGGGGUGACUGCGUACCUUUUGUAUAAUGGGUCAGCGACUUAUAUUCUGUAGCAAGGUUAACCGAAUAGGGGAGCCGAAGGGAAACCGAGUCUUAACUGGGCGUUAAGUUGCAGGGUAUAGACCCGAAACCCGGUGAUCUAGCCAUGGGCAGGUUGAAGGUUGGGUAACACUAACUGGAGGACCGAACCGACUAAUGUUGAAAAAUUAGCGGAUGACUUGUGGCUGGGGGUGAAAGGCCAAUCAAACCGGGAGAUAGCUGGUUCUCCCCGAAAGCUAUUUAGGUAGCGCCUCGUGAAUUCAUCUCCGGGGGUAGAGCACUGUUUCGGCAAGGGGGUCAUCCCGACUUACCAACCCGAUGCAAACUGCGAAUACCGGAGAAUGUUAUCACGGGAGACACACGGCGGGUGCUAACGUCCGUCGUGAAGAGGGAAACAACCCAGACCGCCAGCUAAGGUCCCAAAGUCAUGGUUAAGUGGGAAACGAUGUGGGAAGGCCCAGACAGCCAGGAUGUUGGCUUAGAAGCAGCCAUCAUUUAAAGAAAGCGUAAUAGCUCACUGGUCGAGUCGGCCUGCGCGGAAGAUGUAACGGGGCUAAACCAUGCACCGAAGCUGCGGCAGCGACGCUUAUGCGUUGUUGGGUAGGGGAGCGUUCUGUAAGCCUGUGAAGGUGUGCUGUGAGGCAUGCUGGAGGUAUCAGAAGUGCGAAUGCUGACAUAAGUAACGAUAAAGCGGGUGAAAAGCCCGCUCGCCGGAAGACCAAGGGUUCCUGUCCAACGUUAAUCGGGGCAGGGUGAGUCGACCCCUAAGGCGAGGCCGAAAGGCGUAGUCGAUGGGAAACAGGUUAAUAUUCCUGUACUUGGUGUUACUGCGAAGGGGGGACGGAGAAGGCUAUGUUGGCCGGGCGACGGUUGUCCCGGUUUAAGCGUGUAGGCUGGUUUUCCAGGCAAAUCCGGAAAACCAAGGCUGAGGCGUGAUGACGAGGCACUACGGUGCUGAAGCAACAAAUGCCCUGCUUCCAGGAAAAGCCUCUAAGCAUCAGGUAACAUCAAAUCGUACCCCAAACCGACACAGGUGGUCAGGUAGAGAAUACCAAGGCGCUUGAGAGAACUCGGGUGAAGGAACUAGGCAAAAUGGUGCCGUAACUUCGGGAGAAGGCACGCUGAUAUGUAGGUGAAGCGACUUGCUCGUGGAGCUGAAAUCAGUCGAAGAUACCAGCUGGCUGCAACUGUUUAUUAAAAACACAGCACUGUGCAAACACGAAAGUGGACGUAUACGGUGUGACGCCUGCCCGGUGCCGGAAGGUUAAUUGAUGGGGUUAGCGGUAACGCGAAGCUCUUGAUCGAAGCCCCGGUAAACGGCGGCCGUAACUAUAACGGUCCUAAGGUAGCGAAAUUCCUUGUCGGGUAAGUUCCGACCUGCACGAAUGGCGUAAUGAUGGCCAGGCUGUCUCCACCCGAGACUCAGUGAAAUUGAACUCGCUGUGAAGAUGCAGUGUACCCGCGGCAAGACGGAAAGACCCCGUGAACCUUUACUAUAGCUUGACACUGAACAUUGAGCCUUGAUGUGUAGGAUAGGUGGGAGGCUUUGAAGUGUGGACGCCAGUCUGCAUGGAGCCGACCUUGAAAUACCACCCUUUAAUGUUUGAUGUUCUAACGUUGGCCCGUAAUCCGGGUUGCGGACAGUGUCUGGUGGGUAGUUUGACUGGGGCGGUCUCCUCCUAAAGAGUAACGGAGGAGCACGAAGGUUGGCUAAUCCUGGUCGGACAUCAGGAGGUUAGUGCAAUGGCAUAAGCCAGCUUGACUGCGAGCGUGACGGCGCGAGCAGGUGCGAAAGCAGGUCAUAGUGAUCCGGUGGUUCUGAAUGGAAGGGCCAUCGCUCAACGGAUAAAAGGUACUCCGGGGAUAACAGGCUGAUACCGCCCAAGAGUUCAUAUCGACGGCGGUGUUUGGCACCUCGAUGUCGGCUCAUCACAUCCUGGGGCUGAAGUAGGUCCCAAGGGUAUGGCUGUUCGCCAUUUAAAGUGGUACGCGAGCUGGGUUUAGAACGUCGUGAGACAGUUCGGUCCCUAUCUGCCGUGGGCGCUGGAGAACUGAGGGGGGCUGCUCCUAGUACGAGAGGACCGGAGUGGACGCAUCACUGGUGUUCGGGUUGUCAUGCCAAUGGCACUGCCCGGUAGCUAAAUGCGGAAGAGAUAAGUGCUGAAAGCAUCUAAGCACGAAACUUGCCCCGAGAUGAGUUCUCCCUGAGACUUAGAGUCUCCUGAAGGAACGUUGAAGACGACGACGUUGAUAGGCCGGGUGUGUAAGCGCAGCGAUGCGUUGAGCUAACCGGUACUAAUGAACCGUGAGGCUUAACCUU